AUUGAACGCUGGCGGCAUGCCUUACACAUGCAAGUCGAACGGUAACGCGGGGCAACCUGGCGACGAGUGGCGAACGGGUGAGUAAUGUAUCGGAACGUGCCCAGUUGUGGGGGAUAACUGCUCGAAAGAGCAGCUAAUACCGCAUACGACCUGAGGGUGAAAGCGGGGGAUCGCAAGACCUCGCGCAAUUGGAGCGGCCGAUAUCUGAUUAGGUAGUUGGUGGGGUAAAGGCUCGCCAAGCCAACGAUCUGUAGCUGGUCUGAGAGGACGACCAGCCACACUGGGACUGAGACACGGCCCAGACUCCUACGGGAGGCAGCAGUGGGGAAUUUUGGACAAUGGACGCAAGUCUGAUCCAGCCAUGCCGCGUGCGGGAAGAUGGCCUUCGGGUUGUAAACCGCUUUUGUCAGGGAAGAAACGCUCUGGGUUAAUACCUCGGGGUAAUGACGGUACCUGAAGAAUAAGCACCGGCUAACUACGUGCCAGCCGCCGCCGUAAGAC
rnacentral:rRNA from 1 species